AGGACGAACGCUGGCGGCGUGCUUAACACAUGCAAGUCGAGCGGUAAGGCCUUUCGGGGUACACGAGCGGCGAACGGGUGAGUAACACGUGGGUGAUCUGCCCUGCACUCUGGGAUAAGCCUGGGAGACUGGGUCUAAUACCGGAUAUGACUGCAUGCCGCAUGGUGUGUGGUGGAAAGCUUUAUGUGGUGCAGGAUGGGCCCGCGGCCUAUCAGCUUGUUGGUGGGGUAAUGGCCUACCAAGGCGACGACGGGUAGCCGACCUGAGAGGGUGACCGGCCACACUGGGACUGAGACACGGCCCAGACUCCUACGGGAGGCAGCAGUGGGGAAUAUUGCACAAUGGGCGAAGCCUGAUGCAGCGACGCCGCGUGAGGGAUGGAAGGCCUUCGGGUUGUAAACCUCUUUACAGUCAGGGACGAAGCGCAAGUGACGGUACCUGCAGAAGAAGCACCGGCUAACGUACGUGCCAGCCAGCCGCGUAAUCCUGA
rnacentral:rRNA from 1 species